GACGAACGCUGGCGGCGUGCUUAACACAUGCAAGUCGAACGGAAAGGCCCUGCUUUUGUGGGGUGCUCGAGUGGCGAACGGGUGAGUAACACGUGAGUAACCUGCCCUUGACUUUGGGAUAACUUCAGGAAACUGGGGCUAAUACCGGAUAGGAGCUCCUGCUGCAUGGUGGGGGUUGGAAAGUUUCGGCGGUUGGGGAUGGACUCGCGGCUUAUCAGCUUGUUGGUGGGGUAGUGGCUUACCAAGGCUUUGACGGGUAGCCGGCCUGAGAGGGUGACCGGCCACAUUGGGACUGCGAUACGGCCCAGACUCCUACGGGAGGCAGCAGGGGGGAAUAUUGCACAAUGGGCGGAAGCCUGAUGCAGCAGCGCCGCGUGCGGGAUGACGGCCUUCGGGUUGUAAACCGCUUUCGCCUGUGACGAAGCGUGAGUGACGGUAAUGGGUAAAGAAGCACCGGCUAACUACGUG
rnacentral:rRNA from 1 species